GGCUUAACACAUGCAAGUCGAACGGUAACAGGAGAGAGCUUGCUUUCUUGCUGACGAGUGGCGGACGGGUGAGUAAUGCUUGGGAAUCUGGCUUAUGGAGGGGGAUAACGACGGGAAACUGUCGCUAAUACCGCGUAGAGUCGAGAGACGAAAGUGCGGGACCGCAAGGCCGCAUGCCAUAGGAUGAGCCCAAGUGGGAUUAGGUAGUUGGUGGGGUAAUGGCCUACCAAGCCGACGAUCUCUAGCUGGUCUGAGAGGAUGACCAGCCACACCGGGACUGAGACACGGCCCGGACUCCUACGGGAGGCAGCAGUGGGGAAUAUUGCGCAAUGGGGGCAACCCUGACGCAGCCAUGCCGCGUGAAUGAAGAAGGCCUUCGGGUUGUAAAGUUCUUUCGGUGACGAGGAAGGAGUGAUGUUUAAUAGGCAUCACGAUUGAC
rnacentral:rRNA from 1 species